GAGGAGCGGGCGUCCGCAAGGUGGAUUCUUUACCACUGAGCCACUUGGGAAUCCCUGGAAGGCAACUGUGCUCACCGCUAUACCAUCAACAUGCUGAUUUUGGGGCUUGGAUCAUCAUAGUGGGUGCUCAGUGAGUAUGUGUUCCAAGAACAAAGAACAGGGACCCAAAUCAUACCUUUGACUCCAGAUCCUAUUUUCCCUACCACAUUGCAUGGGCUAGUUGUGCCUUUCCAAAGUCAUUGCCAUGUUUUCCUCCAGUUCAUUUUGGCCACAUCAUGCUGUUAUUUGUUCUCUGUCCAACUGGCAGGUUCACUGGCUCACUCCCCAGGCAGGCAGGGCCACAGCCACAGCUGUUCAGGGACCUUCCUCUGGGAUAGGGUGAUGACCUCCUUGAAACAGGUCUACAUUCCCUGGUCAGCCUUCCACUAAAUAGAGUCUCUUAUCUGUUGUGGGCAGAAGACCAGGGACGGGCAUGGGCAGGCAUGGUCUCCUCCACCUUAUCUGAGCUCUUGUUUUUGCCUCUGCCUCCACCUAGGACUGGAGCCAACAGUGAUGAUCUGUAGCGGGACCCCAGACCCCCUGCCUCGCCUGAGGUCAGCGUCCGUUGGUGCAGCUGUUGCUGUUAAUGCCAGAUGCCAUCUGGCAGGGGCGCUCCCAUCCUGACUGUUUUCAUUUCUGUUUUUCUGUAUCUUCAGUGCUUUAUCUUCCAGGGCCUCUUUGUUCAGUCGCUAAGUCACGUCCAACUCUUUGUGACGCCGUGGAUUGCAGCUCACCAGGCUUCCCUCUCCUUCUAAUUAACCCUGUUUAGCAUUUCCACAGCAUUUUCUAGAAGGUCAAUUUCCCUGAUGAAUCCACAUCCUGAAUUCCAAAGGAGGACCAAUCCUGUUUAUCCUCACUCCAUAGUCACUGCACCUCCAUUGACCUCAGGCUUCUCUGCUGAGAAAUGGGAAGAAGGAGGCCUUCCUCCUAGAGGGCUGUGAGGUUGCAAGAAGGAUGGAGCGCAGGGUCUGGCACGUUGUUAGUGCCUGAUGAUGAAGGUGUCUUCUUCCACCUGCAGGGACCAGCCAGCCAAUCUAGGGCACCAGAGGGCAGUGUCAGGCUCAAACCCUUGCAGCUGGUGGUGAGGCAGGUGGGCAGCAGCAGUUUUCAGCCGUGGCUCUAAGGAGAGGCACCCACACGGUGGCAGUAUGGUCUCGCAGCCUCCCCUAGGGCUGGCCACCAUCGCGGGAUCACAGCUACCUCAAGUCUUCAGGGGACAAGGCCG
ensembl:lncRNA